rnacentral:rRNA from 1 species
UACGGAGGGUGCAAGCGUUACUCGGAAUCACUGGGCGUAAAGGGAGCGUAGGCGGCGCAGUAAGUUAGGAGUGAAAUCCCGGGGCUCAACCCCGGAACUGCUUUUAAAACUGCUGUGCUUGAGUGAUGGAGAGGAAAGCGGAAUUCCUAGUGUAGCGGUGGAAUGCGUAGAUAUUAGGAGGAACACCAGAGGCGAAGGCGGCUUACUGGACUGUAACUGACGUUGAGGCUCGAAGGCGUGGGGAGCAAACAGG